rnacentral:rRNA from 1 species
ACGCUCGACACCUACGAGAGGCAGCAGUGGGGAAUAUUGCACAAUGGGGGAAACCCUGAUGCAGCAACGCCGCGUGAAGGAAGACGGUUUUCGGAUUGUAAACUUCUGUUCUUAGUGAAGAUAGUGACGGUAGCUAAGGAGCAAGCCACGGCUAACUACGUGCCAACAGCCGCGGUAAUCUGAGCGGGCUGGCAAGGC